GACGAACGCUGGCGGCGUGCCUAACACAUGCAAGUCGAACGCAGUUGCGCACGGGUGAGUAACGCGUAGGUAACUGCCUCAUAGCGGGGGAUAACUAUUGGAAACGCUAGCUAUUACCGCAUACUGUGAGAUGGACCUGCGUUGUAUUAGCUAGUUGGUGGGGCAAAGGCUCACCAAGGCGACGCUACAUAGCCGACCUGAGAGGGUGAUCGGCCACGCUGGGACUGGGGCACGGGCCAGACUCCUACGGGAGGCAGCAGUAGGGAAUCUUGGGCAAUGGACGGAAGUCUGACCGAGCAACGCCGGGUGAGUGAAGAAGGUUUUCGGGUCGUAAGGAUGUGUUGUUAGGGAAGCGGUACCUAACCAAAAAGGGACGGCUAACUACGUGCCAGCAGCCGCGGUAAUAC
rnacentral:rRNA from 1 species